rnacentral:rRNA from 1 species
UACGAAGGGAGCUAGCGUUGUUCGGAAUCACUGGGCGUAAAGCGCACGUAGGCGGAUUUGCCAGUCAGGGGUGAAAUCCCGGGGCUCAACCUCGGAACUGCCUUUGAUACAGCAAGUCUUGAGUUCGAGAGAGGUGGGUGGAAUUCCUAGUGUAGAGGUGAAAUUCGUAGAUAUUAGGAAGGACACCGGUGGCGAAGGCGGCCCACUGGCUCGACACUGACGCUGAGGUGCGAAAGCGUGGGGAGCAAACAGG